rnacentral:rRNA from 1 species
UGAACGCUGGCGGCGUGCUUACCACAUGCAAGUCGAACGGAAAGGCUCCUGCUUGCAGGGGUACUCGAGUGGCGAACGGGUGAGUAACACGUGGGUGAUCUGCCCUGCACUUCGGGAUAAGCCUGGGAAACUGGGUCUAAUACCGGAUAGGACGAUGGUUUGGAUGCCAUUGUGGAAAGUUUUUUCGGUGUGGGAUGAGCUCGCGGCCUAUCAGCUUGUUGGUGGGGUAAUGGCCUACCAAGGCGUCGACGGGUAGCCGGCCUGAGAGGGUGUACGGCCACAUUGGGACUGAGAUACGGCCCAGACUCCUACGGGAGGCAGCAGUGGGGAAUAUUGCACAAUGGGCGCAAGCCUGAUGCAGCGACGCCGCGUGGGGGAUGACGGCCUUCGGGUUGUAAACUCCUUUCGCUAGGGACGAAGCGCAAGUGACGGUACCUGGAGAAGAAGCACCGGCUAACUACGUG